GUGCCAGCCGCCGCGGUAAGACGUAGGGCGCAAGCGUUGUCCGGAUUUAUUGGGCGUAAAGAGCUCGUAGGCGGCUUGUUGCGUCGGCUGUGAAAACCCGCGGCUUAACCGUGGGCUUGCAGCCGAUACGGGCGGGCUGGAGUUCGGUAGGGGAGACUGGAAUUCCUGGUGUGGCGGUGAAAUGCGCAGAUACCAGGAGGAACACCGGUGGCGAAGGCGGGUCUCUGGGCCGAUACUGACGCUGAGGAGCGAAAGCGUGGGGAGCGAACAGGAUUAGAAACCCCGGUAGUCC
rnacentral:rRNA from 1 species